rnacentral:rRNA from 1 species
UGAACGCUGGCGGCAGGCCUAACACAUGCAAGUCGAACGGUAGCACAGAGAGCUUGCUCUUGGGUGACGAGUGGCGGACGGGUGAGUAAUGUCUGGGAAACUGCCCGAUGGAGGGGGAUAACUACUGGAAACGGUAGCUAAUACCGCAUAACGUCUUCGGACCAAAGUGGGGGACCUUCGGGCCUCACACCAUCGGAUGUGCCCAGAUGGGAUUAGCUAGUAGGUGGGGUAAUGGCUCACCUAGGCGACGAUCCCUAGCUGGUCUGAGAGGAUGACCAGCCACACUGGAACUGAGACACGGUCCAGACUCCUACGGGAGGCAGCAGUGGGGAAUAUUGCACAAUGGGCGCAAGCCUGAUGCAGCCAUGCCGCGUGUAUGAAGAAGGCCUUCGGGUUGUAAAGUACUUUCAGCGGGGAGGAAGGCGGUGGAGUUAAUAGCUUCAUCGAUUGACGUUACCCGCAGAAGAAGCACCGGCUAACUCCGUGCCAGCAGCCGCGGUAAUACGGAGGGUGCAAGCGUUAAUCGGAAUUACUGGGCGUAAAGCGCACGCAGGCGGUCUGUCAAGUCGGAUGUGAAAUCCCCGGGCUUAACCUGGGAACUGCAUUCGAAACUGGCAGGCUAGAGUCUUGUAGAGGGGGGUAGAAUUCCAGGUGUAGCGGUGAAAUGCGUAGAGAUCUGGAGGAAUACCGGUGGCGAAGGCGGCCCCUGGACAAAGACUGACGCUCAGGUGCGAAAGCGUGGGGAGCAAACAGGAUUAGAUACCCUGGUAGUCCACGCCGUAAACGAUGUCGACUUGGAGGUUGUGCCCUUGAGGCGUGGCUUCCGGAGCUAACGCGUUAAGUCGACCGCCUGGGGAGUACGGCCGCAAGGUUAAAACUCAAAUGAAUUGACGGGGGCCCGCACAAGCGGUGGAGCAUGUGGUUUAAUUCGAUGCAACGCGAAGAACCUUACCUACUCUUGACAUCCAGCGAAUUCGGUAGAGAUACCUUAGUGCCUUCGGGAACGCUGAGACAGGUGCUGCAUGGCUGUCGUCAGCUCGUGUUGUGAAAUGUUGGGUUAAGUCCCGCAACGAGCGCAACCCUUAUCCUUUGUUGCCAGCGGUCCGGCCGGGAACUCAAAGGAGACUGCCAGUGAUAAACUGGAGGAAGGUGGGGAUGACGUCAAGUCAUCAUGGCCCUUACGAGUAGGGCUACACACGUGCUACAAUGGCGCAUACAAAGAGAAGCGACCUCGCGAGAGCAAGCGGACCUCAUAAAGUGCGUCGUAGUCCGGAUUGGAGUCUGCAACUCGACUCCAUGAAGUCGGAAUCGCUAGUAAUCGUAGAUCAGAAUGCUACGGUGAAUACGUUCCCGGGCCUUGUACACACCG